GGGGAGGUGGCUCAGAGGUUAAGAGCACUGACUGUUCUUCCAGAGGUCCUGAGUUCAAUUCCCAGCAACCACG
rnacentral:tRNA from 1 species